UGAAAGUUCAUUUCACAGUAAGUUCAUUAGUCUCCAAAGGUACUACAGGACUCUCUAGCUGCUAGAGAGUCCUGUAGUACAUUUGGAGACUAAUGAACUUACUGUGAAAUGAACUUUCA